AUUGAACGCUGGCGGCAUGCCUAACACAUGCAAGUCGAACGGUAACGCGGGGGCAACCCUGGCGACGAGUGGCGGACGGGUGAGUAAUACAUCGGAACGUGCCCAGUAGUGGGGGAUAGCCCGGCGAAAGCCGGAUUAAUACCGCAUACGACCUACGGGUGAAAGCGGGGGAUCGCAAGACCUCGCGCUAUUGGAGCGGCCGAUGUCAGAUUAGCUAGUUGGUGGGGUAAAAGCCUACCAAGGCGACGAUCUGUAGCUGGUCUGAGAGGACGACCAGCCACACUGGGACUGAGACACGGCCCAGACUCCUACGGGAGGCAGCAGUGGGAAUUUUGGACAAUGGGGGCAACCCUGAUCCAGCCAUGCCGCGUGCGGGAAGAAGGCCU
rnacentral:rRNA from 1 species